rnacentral:lncRNA from 1 species
CUCCCCGCAGGCGGGAGUGGGGUGGGAGGGGAGCGAGCGCGUUGGUGACGCGGGGCGCUCACGUGACGUGGAGCUGCAGAGCGACGCAGCCUUCGGUGCAGUCGUCACUCCCGUCUGGGUACCUGCUCCCCGGUGUCCUGCGCCCCGCGGGCUGGCGUCAGGCCCGAGGAAAGCGGAGCAGGUCUUCUCGUAGGCCUACAGUAGGGCUGUUUACCACUGGAAGCCAGGGAAAGGGGAAGACUGGCUUGGAACCAUGAAGGUUGGUUUGAAGGUGGGCAGCACUUGAGGAUAACAAGAGGGUGAGCAC